GGGCAGGUGGCGAAAUUGGUAUACGCUUACGCUUGAGGUGCGUAUGAGGAAACUCGUGGGGGUUCAAGUCCCCCCCUGCCCA
rnacentral:tRNA from 1 species